CCUCUGUCCUCUUUUCAUCAUCUUCACCAUUCUUUAUAACCAAACCGAUUAAAAUCAAAUUGAAGAAAAAAGAUACAAUGGCGAAGCAGGAGCAACAGCAAUGGAAUGCUUGUAGUAAUGGUAGUGGGGGAGCGAUUGAUAAUAGCAGUUGUAUUAGUAGAAACAGCAGCAAUGGCAAUAGCAAUAGCAAUGGGGGUUUGCAAUUGCAGUCUUUUUUCAAAUCCAUAUUUUCCAAGACUAACGACAAAAACAGUUUCAGAGAACGGAGGAGUAAGAGCUUCUUUGUCAAAAGAGACGGUGGUCAUUCCGAUGACUAUGGAAACGACGACGACGGUUCCGCAUGGGCUAAGCUGCCCGUUCCUCAUCUUUCUCCUCCCGCUCGUUCCGUGAUCUCCCGUUGUUCCAAGCUUCCAGAGCAGAAUUUCAGCCAAAGAAUAAAUUACUGAUACUGGAAAAAAAAAAAGAAAAACAUUUUCAUUUCUUGAAUUUGUUCUGCGUUGUGGAAAGUCGUCAGAUUGGUCAUUGGCAAAAUCACAUGAAAUUGAUUCUGAGUCUUUGAAUCAAGAUGGCUGUUUGGGAAGGUCAAGAUCUCUUGCAAGGCUUAAUGCCCAGAAGGAAUUCUUGAGGGCAACUGCUCUUUUGUCUGAUAGGACAUUUUGCACUGAAGAAUCCAUUCCUGAAGCCUUCAAUAAGUUCUUGACUUUGUACCCAAAGUUCCAAUGUUCAGAAACAAUUGACCAAUUGAGACUUGACUUUGGAGAUUCACUUGGAAGCGGGCUACCGGCCUUAGUUCGAGACAGUUCGGAUCCUAGAUAGGGUUCGCCAGAAGGCUUUGAAAUGGAAUUGGAAGAGAGUUCAGUGGAAAAGGGUCGCGGGCAGAGCAGUGGACGGGCAUCCCGCCGCCCAGAUGGAUACAACGACUUGAGCCAGCUGGAGGUUGGUACAAGUAGUUGCGCCGGAACAACAGUCAACAGUACAGGAGACUCGCUAGCAAGUAGAAGUGGCAUGGCCGGACUAUCCUUACUUUAUUUGUAUGCGAUGGACCCGGACUCAUCGGAAGGAAGCGAGGACGGGGAUCCGAUCGGCACUUGGACAAAUGACCACACCCCCAGCAUAUUAUAUUCCUCGCCAUCCAGCAAACCGUAACAAAACACUUUUAAAGUUUUUCGCAAUAAUAUAUAUACUCUUAAAUACAAUUGACGUUCUCACUUGC